GUGAGUAUGUUUUUGAUGAUUUUAAAUCUCAAGUUGUGGCUCAGCAUCACAAAUGGAAGAAAAAGUAAAAGGAGAAAUGAAUGACAAUCAAAGCUUUUUCUUUGCUUUUGUGGAGGUUGUGGAGGGGUGAAAUUUCUAAGAUCCUCAUGCUGCCAUUUCUGCUGAUGCCAAUCAUUUCCGUUAAGGUUUGGAUAAGCCUCGAACCACAAGUGCACUGCAGUCUGAAUAGGCAUCAUAAUCCUCCAGGAAACUCUGAACAGCCUUGACACAGACUCUAAAACCCAGCUGGGCACAGUGGCUCAAACCUGUAAUCCCAGCACUUUGGGAGGCUGAGGCACGCAGAUUGCUUGAGCUUGAGAGACCGAGAUCAGCCUGGGCAACAUGGGGACCCUGCUCAGCCAAACUCUGAUCCAAAGGAAGCCACCGCUGUCAUAUCCGCAUCUAGCCACACUUUGUUUGAAAGCUUCCUGGGCUCUGUGAGUGCUGGCUUUUGGGACCUAUUUUUGAGGGGAAAGAUUAUGGGCAUUGCUUCCUUCUGGAUACACUGAACCCUCGAUAAAGGACUUGGAGGUGGCCUGUGUGACUUUUACUGCUGAAGUACAUAGGCUUUGUUUUAAGCCUGGUACCUAAUCAGUCCAGAACUUAGCUGUGUUUAUAUGCCACAGGGAAGUCAAAGCCAAUGCAUUUUGGAACUGACUGAAAGUAAAUGACCACUGUGUAGCUCCCUGUAUUAAUGCAUAAGGCCCUCUAGACUGAAAUAUAUCAUGCAAAAUGUGGCAUACAGAAAGACACCUUGAAUAUUUCCUGUGACUAGUCAAGACCCUAUCAAGAGGUGAUCAGUGUCAUCUACACUCUAAUUGAAUCUUGCAUUUAUACCCUAACUGAAACUUGCAUCCUUUCGUACACUGUUUCUCCUCUAUCUUUCUAGUUGGGACAUAUCCCUUAAUACACAGAUUCAGGGUUUAUCCUCAACAGUGUCAUUAGCUGAUUGUCUAAUGGAAUCAAUGUCUUUCUCUAUCUUUAUAUGAAAUUAUUUAUUUAUUUGGAUUUCCUCAUUAUCAGAAACAUACUGACCCAUGCAAUUAUUUAAAGACUUGAUUUUUGUCCAAAAUUAGGUAAAAUAAGAUAAUGAAAUGUGUAUGCAUAUAUAAUAAUCAAAUAGAGAACCCAAACCUAUUUGUAUCUAUAAUUUAAACAGAAUAAGGAAGGUAACUGUAUUAGUUUCCAAAUGCUGCUAUAACAAAUUUCUAAAAACUUAAUGGCUUAAAACAGCACAAAUUUGUUAUGUUACAGUUCUGAAAGUAAGGAGUCUAAAAUGAGUUUGCAAGGCUGCAUUCUUUCUGGAGGCUCUAAGGAAUAACCUGUGUUCCUGCCAUUUCCGGCUUUUAGGGGCUACUCACAUUUCUUAGCUCAUGGAUCUUUCCUCAUAUCACUCAGAUCUCUGCUUCCAUCAUCACCUCUCUUACUCAAACACUGACCCUCCUGCCUCUCUCUUAUAAGGACCCUUGUGAUUAUGUUGGGCUUACCUAAACAAUACAGAUAAUCUGCACAUCUCAAAAUACUUAACAUUAUCACACCUAAAAAUCCCUUCUACCGAGGUUAUAUAUUCACAGGUUUCUGGGACUGGGAUAUGAACACCUUCAGAGCUAUAUUCUGCCUACUACAAUAAGCAAUACCCAAGCUAGUAUUUUAUUUUGUGCCCGAGGAACUGUUAUUUUCACAUCUCAUUUCAGCUAUGCUUGGUCAUUCUACAUCUUUAUCAUCCAAGGUGCACAUGAAAUAAGAGUGUUUUACUCUAUGGAAUAGUAGAAAGUACAUUGGCUUUGGAGUCAGAAAGUCCUAUUUUCAUACUCUGGCUUUUCCAUUCAGCCAACUGUAUGACCAUGAACAAGACAUUUAACUUCUCUGAUCCCUGACACUGUGAAUGUAGUGUGGUCCUCAAUAAAUGGCAGUUGCUUUAACAAAAU